GAUGAACGCUAGCUACAGGCUUAACACAUGCAAGUCGAGGGGAAACGGCAUUGAGUGCUUGCACUCUUUGGACGUCGACCGGCGCACGGGUGAGUAACGCGUAUCCAACCUUCCCAUUACUGUGGGAUAACCUGCCGAAAGGCAGACUAAUACCGCAUAGUCUUCGAUGACGGCAUCAGAUUUGAAGUAAAGAUUUAUCGGUAAUGGAUGGGGAUGCGUCUGAUUAGCUUGUUGGCGGGGUAACGGCCCACCAAGGCGACGAUCAGUAGGGGUUCUGAGAGGAAGGUCCCCCACAUUGGAACUGGGACACGGUCCAAACUCCUACGGGAGGCAGCAGUGAGGAAUAUUGGUCAAUGGACGGAAGUCUGAACCAGCCAAGUAGCGUGCAGGAUGACGGCCCUAUGGGUUGUAAACUGCUUUUGUAUGGGGAUAAAGUUAGGGAUGUGUCCCUAUUUGCAGGUACCAUACGAAUAAGGACCGGCUAAUUCCGUG
rnacentral:rRNA from 1 species